UUUGCAUUUUGUGUGUGUAUGUUAGGCACCCAGGAUUGUUUGAUAAACUUUUUUCUUCUGCUUUUCUAUUUUUUCCUGUAGUUUAUUUAAUGCUUUUAUUAAAACCAAAACAGAAAUCAGGACAAGGACAUCUCCUCUGCCAAUUCCUUUUGGAAAAAAAUUAUUAUCCUUUAAAUUGCUUCUAGAAGGCCUGACUGAACAGGGAGUUCAGUUGAAGUCCAUAAUAUUUAGAAGAUAAUUUGCUACUCAGUCUGGACCCUCAUAGUGAAUUAUGUCUGCCUAUCAACUUUGCAAUUACAGACCCACAAUUUUAUCAACCCACCUAUGAAUGAAUGUACUCUCAAGAGAGAGAGAUUACAAGCAAGGGAGAGAAGCAGAGAGAGAGAGAGAGA